AUGUGGCUCAGUUGGUAUAGUGUUUGCUUAGCAUGCAAAAAGCCCUGAGUUCAAUCCCCAGCAU
rnacentral:tRNA from 1 species